GAUGAAGAACGUAGCAAAAUGCGAUAAGUAAUGUGAAUUGCAGAAUUCAGUGAAUCAUCGAAUCUUUGAACGCACAUUGCGCCCGCCAGUAUUCUGGCGGGCAUGCCUGUUCGAGCGUCAUUUCAACCCUCAAGCCCUCGGGUUUGGUGUUGGGGAUCGGCGAGCCUUUCUGGCAAGCCGGCCCCGAAAUCUAGUGGCGGUCUCGCUGCAGCCUCCAUUGCGUAGUAGUAAAACCCUCGCAACUGGAACGCGGCGCGGCCAAGCCGUUAAACACCCAACUUCUGAAUGUUGACCUCGGAUCAGGUAGGAAUACCCGCUGAACUUAAGCACAUCAAUAAGCGGAGGA
rnacentral:misc_RNA from 1 species